rnacentral:rRNA from 1 species
AUUGCCUCAGUAACGGCGAGUGAAGCGGCAACAGCUCAAAUUUGAAAUCUGGCCUCUUUGGGGUCCGAGUUGUAAUUUGUAGAGGAUGUUUCGGGCACCGCUCCGGUUUAAAUUUCUUGGAACAGAAUGUCAAAGAGGGUGAGAACCCCGUCUUGGACCGGCAGUAGGGCCCAUGUGAAACUCCUUCGACGAGUCGAGUUGUUUGGGAAUGCAGCUCAAAAUGGGUGGUAAAUUUCAUCUAAAGCUAAAUAUUGGCCAGAGACCGAUAGCGCACAAGUAGAGUGAUCGAAAGAUGAAAAGCACUUUGAAAAGAGAGUUAAACAGUACGUGAAAUUGUUGAAAGGGAAGCGCUUGCAACCAGACUUGCGCGCGGUGGUUCCCCCUUCCUUUUGGUUGGGUUAUUCCGCCGUGUCCAGGCCAACAUCGGUUCUGGGGGUCGGUUAAAGGCCUGGGGAAUGUAUCUACCCUUCGGGCGUAGACUUAUAGCCCCGGGUGUCAUGCGACCUCCCGGGACCGAGGAACGCGCUUCGGCUCGGAUGUUGGCGUAAUGGUUGUCAGCGACCCGUCUUGAAACACGGACCAAGGAGUCUAACAUCUAUGCGAGUGUUUGGGUGUCAAACCCGGAACGCGGAAUGAAAGUGAACGGAGGUAGGAAGCUUCGGCUGCACUAUCGACCGAUCCUGAUGUCUUCGGAUGGAUUUGAGUAAGAGCAUAGCUGUUGGGACCCGAAAGAUGGUGAACUAUGCCUGAAUAGGGUGAAGCCAGAGGAAACUCUGGUGGAGGCUCGCAGCGGUUCUGACGUGCAAAUCGAUCGUCAAAUUUGGGUAUAGGGGCGAAAGACUAAUCGAACCAUUAAAAAGUUACCGGUGGUUAAGUGUAACCGUGAAAGCGGUUG